AUGUCAAAGUACUCGCAUGCCAUCUCCGGCAAUUUAGGUUGUUUGGUCCUCCAUAUAAAUCCCUUGCCUCCUCUUCUCUUUUCCUCUUUCUUUUCCGAUUUAUGGAAAAGAAAACCCCCCUUCUUUUUUUUCUUUUGGUUACCCGAGCAGGCCUCCUUGCCUUUUUCCAGUCCCACCGAAAUGGGCCAGAACCCAGGCCGACCCAUCCAACCUCUAGGCCACUCCCUCCUAACCCUAGCCCCGACCCCCUCUCGAUCUCUCCUCUCGUUCCCCACUCCGUCGCCAGCCACUUGUCCCGAUCGGGAUCGUCCUCGAUCCCCCACUUUCCCCCGUCUCCUCCCUCAGGCCGUCACCACACACAGAAGAGGGAGCUCGAUCCCCAUGUCCACGCACCACCGCGCCCGGUCCCUCUGUCGGCGACCUCCGCCGCCUUGCAGCCUCUGCUUCUCCUCGCUGGCAGGACUCCUGCGCCUCCUUCAUGGCCCUCCUCCUCCAGCCUCCUCGUCGUCCUGCCAUGGACGCCGAGCUCGAAGCUCCGUCCGACCCUGCCUUCAUGACCUUUGCCGAGCAAGUCCCUCUCCUGGAGCCGCUCGCUGCUGCUGCUCUUCAUCGAGGCGCCAUGUUUCGUCGAUCUGCAGCCAUCUCCCUCGCGCCCUUCCUCCUAGCCGGCGUUCUGCUCGAGGACCAGCCCCGUGCACCCCUGUGCUCGUGGGCAGGGGACCCCAAGAGCGUCGCGUCGUCUCCCUACCUCGCCUGCGCUGCCGGCGUCAACAACAGCAGCGGACCAGAGCCCCUGCCUUGCUCCACCAUGUCGCAGCGCAUCCGGCCAUCGGCGUCCAACACCUCACCAGCCAGCUACUACCUCGAGCAGUCCUGCCAUGGCCAUCACCUCCCCGACGCCCUUGCUGCUGCUGCUAG
rnacentral:rRNA from 1 species